UCACUCCCUCCAGAAGACAGAAAAGUUUUGGAGGCGAGAAAGCUCUUCAUUCAACAGACUCCCGAAGAGAAGCGCCUGCUUCAUCCUUCCCGACUCCCUCCGAGUCCUUCCCCUUUUCCGGGAGAUGGAGCGCAGCAGGCGACCCUCUUGAGAAGCAGCAGCCCUGGCUACCCUCGGAGUCCCUUAAGACUCGGGCAGCACGCAGGUCUCCCGCUAGUAAAGCCUUCCUUCUUUCGUCCAUUCUCCCGGAAAAGAUAAAGGAAAGAUUGAGCCUCUAAACCGGCCCUUCCCCUUCCCCCUCUUCCUGAGGGACCUAAGGCAGAAAGUACUAUUCUGCGAUUCACUGGCGAGAAAAGAGGGAGGAGGCAAAAGAACUUCCGAGAGCCCAAACUAAGUAAGUUAGCCCAGAAAACGCCAGCAGGGUGUAGCGCCUCCGCUGGAUGCACCAGCCCGCGGAGAACUGGUGGGCCCCGUGGAGAGGGGCGGCGGGGCUGGACCCUGCCUCGCUCCGCACGCGCUCCUGCACCGGGGAGACGGAAUCGGCCCCCAAGUUCCUGCAAAGAAGUGGGCGGUUAGCUGCAGAGGGUAAUCAGGAAACGGCUUUUCUCUCACUUGGCCGCCUGGUGAGUGUUGGGAAGAUUGGCAAACGCCUAGGAGAAUCGGGAAAGAUACAGAGCCCUGGGAAAGGAGCCGGUUCGCUCCGGGCAGUUCCUCGUUGGCCGGGAUAAGAGCAAGAAGCAGCUGCUCCACUCUGCAGUGCUUUCCAGGUGUUGGGACCCCUGGACGUACUGCCAACUUCAUCACCCUCUGUGCGUGUGCAGCCUAGGACAGCCUGGUCCCCCAACGUGGAGGACGCUCUGGUUACUAAAUGGCCCUGCUCAGUGUGAUUAUCAGUUCCUUAUUUGUUUACUUUUGGCUUCUGAGAACUUUUGAGCGGAAAUAUUAACUUUUUUUGUGGAAGCUACUCUAGAGAGAGAGGAAAAGGAAAAAGUGAAAUCUGAUGGAGAAGAGUGUUUUUUUCCAAAGAGUCUGGACGUCCUGAUAAACCAGCCCUAAUAGAAGAUUAAAGUUGUGGGAAGUAGUGACAGCCGAGAGGAGCAGAGGAUUACUUGCCAGGUGGAGACCCUUCGCGGUCUAUUGGGUCUCCCCUUCUGCGUGCAUGUGUGUGCCAGCGGCGGCGCGCGGUGCGGGGUUUUGCGCGUGGAGUCUCAGCUUGGAGCCGAGUGAAUGGCCCCCAGGGGCCGCGCGGAGCUGCCGCCUCCGCCGCCUCCACCGCCUGCGCCUCAACAGGUCUGGCUCUGGCCUGGAAAGAUGCUAGCUAUGGGCGCUCUGGCAGGCUUCUGGGUCCUCAGCCUCCUCACCUAUGGUUACCUGUCCUGGGGCCAGGGUUUAGAGGAUGAGGAAGAAGGGUCCCUGCGAGUUCAAGCUGGAGAAAGACCCGAGCCCAGCACAACGGCCGCCUCUCAGCCCCAUCUCAUUUUCAUCCUGGCGGAUGAUCAGGGAUUUAGAGAUGUGGGUUACCAUGGAUCUGAGAUAAAGACACCCACUCUUGACAAGCUCGCAGCUGAAGGAGUUAAACUGGAGAAUUACUACGUCCAGCCCAUUUGCACGCCAUCCAGGAGUCAGUUCAUUACAGGAAAGUAAGUAUUAUUCUUAUAUGUAUUCCUUGGAGAAAUCU
rnacentral:lncRNA from 1 species